UAAACCCUGCGAUGUUUGUGAUACCGUAUAAUGUUUUGAGCUAACACUUUUGAUUCGGGAGCUCGUUCUCUGUAUGCAGCACAUAAGCCUUGAUCCAAAGGACAUGUUAAGCAUCCAGGAGAGCACCCACUUGUGGGGAGAGAGUUCAAAACAGGGCGGUUACCACGGCAUGGUGGGGUUUCG
rnacentral:other from 1 species